GUGGGGAAUCUUCCACAAUGGACGAAAGUCUGAUGGAGCAACGCCGCGUGAGUGAAGAAGGGUUUCGGCUCGUAAAGCUCUGUUGUCGGGGACGAAUGUGCAGUAUUUGAAUAAAGUAGUGCAAUGACGGUACCUGACGAGGAAGCCACGGCUAACUACGUGCCAGCAGCCGCGGUAAUACGUAGGUGGCAAGCGUUGUCCGGAAUUAUUGGGCGUAAAGGGAGCGCAGGCGGGAAGGUAAGUCGGUCUUAAAAGUGCGGGGCUCAACCCCGUGAUGGGAUCGAAACUAUCUUUCUUGAGUGCAGGAGAGGAAAGUGGAAUUCCUAGUGUAGCGGUGAAAUGCGUAGAUAUUAGGAGGAACACCAGUGGCGAAGGCGACUUUCUGGACUGUAACUGACGCUGAGGCUCGAAAGCCAGGGGAGCGAACGGGAUUAGAAACCCCAGUAGUCC
rnacentral:rRNA from 1 species